rnacentral:rRNA from 1 species
GACAGAGGGGUGCAAACGUUGUUCGGAAUUACUGGCGUAAAGGCGUGUGUAGGCGGCUACGCAAGUCGGAUGUGAAAGCCCCGGGCCGUCAAACCCGGGAAGUGCACCCUGAAACUGCGUGGCUCGAGUACCGGAGAGGUUGGUGGAAUUCUACGGUGUAGAGGUGAAAUUCGUAGAUAUCGAGAGGAACACCGGUGGCGAAGGCGGCCAACUGGACGAGUACUGACGCUGAGAACGCGGAAAGCGUGGGGAGCAAACAGG